UAUUAAUUAGAUAAUAAUUAUUGGAACACAAACGCUCGAAACUGGUAUAUGUGGAGGCGGCAAAAAGCUUCUCAACGACUGUACAAGCUGUAUGGUAUCGACCAAUGCUAGCCUCGGAUUGUUUGCCG